UACAGAGGGUGCGAGCGUUAAUCGGAAUUACUGGGCGUAAAGCGCGCGUAGGCGGCUUUGCAAGUCGGGUGUGAAAUCCCCAGGCUUAACCUGGGAACUGCAGUCGAUACGGGCUGGCUGGAGUUCGGUAGGGGAGACUGGAAUUCCUGGUGUAGCGGUGAAAUGCGCAGAUAUCUGGAGGAAUACCGGUGGCGAAGGCGGCAUCCUGGACCGGCAUUGACGCUGAGGAGCGAAAGCUAGGGGAGCAAACGGG
rnacentral:rRNA from 1 species